rnacentral:rRNA from 1 species
CACGUAGGGGGCAAGCGUUGUCCGGAUUUAUUGGGCGUAAAGAGCUCGUAGGUGGUUCGGUAAGUCGGGUGUUAAACCCCCAGGCUCAACCUGGGGACGCCACUCGAUACUGCUGUGACUAGAGUCCGGUAGGGGGAGCGUGGAAUUCCUGGUGUAGCGGUGAAAUGCGCAGAUAUCAGGAGGAACACCAGCGGCGAAGGCGGCGCCUCUGGGCCGGUACUGACACUGAGGAGCGAAAGCGUGGGUAGCAAACAGG